UACGGGGGGGGCAAGCGUUGUUCGGAAUUACUGGGCGUAAAGGGUCCGUAGGUGGCCCAUUAAGUCAGACGUGAAAUCCCUCGGCUUAACCGGGGAACUGCGUCUGAUACUGGAUGGCUUGAGUUUGGGAGAGGGAUGCGGAAUUCCAGGUGUAGCGGUGAAAUGCGUAGAUAUCUGGAGGAACACCGGUGGCGAAGGCGGCAUCCUGGACCAACACUGACACUGAGGAGCGAAAGCCAGGGGAGCAAACGGG
rnacentral:rRNA from 1 species